rnacentral:rRNA from 1 species
GAUGAACGCUGGCGGCGUGCUUAACACAUGCAAGUCGAACGUGAGGGUGCAGCGAUGUGCCUGAAAGUGGCGAACGGGUGAGUAACACGUAGAUGACCUGCCCUGGAGUGGGGGAUAACCAUUGGAAACGGUGGCUAAUACCGCAUACAUCCGGAGAACUGGGAAGUUUUCUGGGGAAAGCUCUGGUGCUUCAGGAGGGGUCUGCGUCCGAUUAGCUAGUUGGUGGGGUAAAGGCUCACCAAGGCGACGAUCGGUAGCUGGUCUGAGAGGACGAUCAGCCACACGGGAACUGAGACACGGUCCCGACUCCUACGGGGGGCAGCAGUGAGGAAUAUUGGGCAAUGGGCGGAAGCCUGACCCAGCAACGCCGCGUGGAGGAAGACGGCCUUC